rnacentral:piRNA from 1 species
AGUGAGAUAGAAGAUUAAGCAACCUUGCAGC